UAGGUGCAAAGGGAAGCUGGUUAGCUGAUGUCUACUUGAUAAAAAAUCCAGAGUGUUGUUUUGCUUAUUUUUUUUUUUUUUAACUAGAUCCAAAGUUGGGGUCGGACACCCUAUCCCACCCUUACAGAACAGUUAAUAAAAAAUGUUCUAUGGCAACACUUUUGUCUGCACUAGUUGCAAAGGGAAGCUGGGCAGCUAAGUUCUACUUGAGAAAAAAUCAAGGGUGACGUUCGGCUUAGUUUUGUUUUUAAGUAGGUCCACAGUUGGGGUCGGACACCCUACCCCAUCCUUACAGAAAAGAUAAUAAAAAAUGUUCUACAGCAAUACUUUUGGCUGCAUCUAUAGGUGUAAAAAGAAGCUUUGUAGCUGAAGUCUACAUGAGAAAAAAUCCAGGGUGUUCUUCGGGUUAGUUUUUUUUUAAAGUAGGUCUAAACUUAGGGUCGGACACCCUACCCCAACUCACAGAAAAGUUAAUAAAAAAAUGUUCUACGGCAAUACCUUUGUCUGCAUUAGUUGCAAAGGGAAGAAGGGUAGCUUAUGUCUACUUGAGAACAAAUCCAGGGUGUUGUUUGGCUUAGUUUUGUUUUUAAGUAGGUCAACAGUUGGGGAUGGACCCCUAGCC
rnacentral:lncRNA from 1 species